GCUGGCGGCAGGCCUAACACAUGCAAGUCGAGCGGUAACAGUUUCUAGCUUGCUAGAAGAUGACGAGCGGCGGACGGGUGAGUAACGCGUAGAAAUCUACUAGUAGUGGGGGAUAGCCCAGAGAAAUUUGGAUUAAUACCGCAUACGCCCUACGGGGGAAAGCGGGGGAGUCUUCGGACCUCGUGCUAUUAGAUGAGUCUGCGUCGGAUUAGCUUGUUGGUGAGGUAAUGGCUCACCAAGGCGACAUCCGUAGCUGGUCUGAGAGGAUGACCAGCCACACUGGAACUGAGACACGGUCCAGACUCCUACGGGAGGCAGCAGUGGGGAAUAUUGCACAAUGGGCGCAAGCCUGAUGCAGCCAUGCCGCGUGUGUGAAGAAGGCCUUAGGGUUGUAAAGCACUUUCAGCAGUGAGGAAAGGGGUGUCGUUAAUAGCGCCAUCCUGUGACGUUAACUGCAGAAGAAGGACCGGCUAACUCCGUG
rnacentral:rRNA from 1 species